rnacentral:tRNA from 1 species
GUCAGGAUGGCCGAGCGGUCUAAGGCGCUGCGUUCAGGUCGCAGUCUCCCCUGGAGGGUCGGGUUCGAAUCCCACUUCUGACA